rnacentral:rRNA from 1 species
UUCGCAAUGCCCGAAAGGGUGACGAUGCGACGCCGCGUGAGCGAAGAAGGCCCUAGGGUUGUAAAGCUCUGUCGAGGGUUAUGAAAUAUAGAUGGGUUAAUACCCCAUUUAUUUGACAAAAGCCCAAAAGGAAGCCACGGCUAACUCUGUGCCAGCAGCCGCGGUAAUACAGAGGUGGCGAGCGUUGUUCGGUAUUAUUGGGCGUAAAGAGCACGUAGGUGGUUUUGUAAGUCAGGUGUGAAAGCCUUCUGUUCAAAGGAAGAACGGCAUCUGAAACUGCAGAUCUUGAGCGUAGGAGGGGAGAGUGGAACUUCUGGUGGGGCGGUGAAAUGCGUAGAUAUCAGAAGGAACGUCGGCGGCGAAAGCGACUCUCUGGCCUAUUACUGACACUGAGGUGCGAAAGUUAGGGGAGCAAACGGGAUUAGAUACCCCGGUAGUCCUAACCGUAAACGAUGGGCACUAAGUAGAGGGGUUUU